rnacentral:rRNA from 1 species
UGGGGAAUAUUGGACAAUGGACCAAAAGUCUGAUCCAGCAAUUCUGUGUGCACGAUGACGUUUUUCGGAAUGUAAAGUGCUUUCAGUUGGGAAGAAAAAAAUGACGGUACCAACAGAAGAAGUGACGGCUAAAUACGUGCCAGCAGCCGCGGUAAUACGUAUGUCACAAGCGUUAUCCGGAUUUAUUGGGCGUAAAGCGCGUCUAGGUGGUUAUGUAAGUCUGAUGUGAAAAUGCAGGGCUCAACUCUGUAUUGCGUUGGAAACUGCAUGACUAGAGUACUGGAGAGGUAAGCGGAACUACAAGUGUAGAGGUGAAAUUCGUAGAUAUUUGUAGGAAUGCCGAUGGGGAAGCCAGCUUACUGGACAGAUACUGACGCUAAAGCGCGAAAGCGUGGGUAGCAAACA